CAGACUUGGAAAGGAGGACUGGGUUAACAUAAAGUGGAAGCCUGGGAAGAUAACCCACACCUUUCAGGAAGAUGUAACCAGUUGUGGGGUCUUUGUCAUGCAGAUGGCCAAGAUGACAGUGAUGGAGUUUCCAAAGAUGCCACAGUCGUUUCAGAUUGACUCAUCCAAAGAGUCUCUUAAAAAUCAAAGAAGACUCAUGGCAGAAGAAAUUCUCAUGGCAUCAGUUUCAAAGGAUGAGUUCUGCUCCUUCUGUGGAAAUAAGAACCUGCCUGCUGGAGAUGAUGUUUGGAUUCAGUGUGGAAAUUGCACAAGAUGGUUUCACACGCAGUGCCUAGGAAUGACUGCAGCACAAAUACCAAACAAAAAUUCCCCUUGGGAUUGUGUGUUGUGUAUCAGCCCUAGCUAAAGAGGCUGUAGCAUCUUCAUGCCCUCUCAAGCCACAUUUUUGUGGUUGAUCCUCUGCAAGUGCCAAAUGAAGUUGAGGACUCCAGAAAGGCUGGCCACAGAUUUGAACAGUACUUCAAGAUGCACCGGAAAAGACUGGGUUAACAUCAAGUGGAAGCCUGGCAAGAUAACCCACACAUACAUGCUUUUUUUUUUUUUACACUUUAAGUAAUUGUGUUAGUACAACCACCUUUCCUGUAGUAUUUACAAAAAUAUUUCUAUAUGUAGUUUGAAGACAUUUCUUGAGAUAAAUACCCACAAAAAGUAUGUGUCUUUUUGAAAAGUAAUAGUUAUAGUUCAACCAUUUUGAGCACUUACAGUGAAAAAAGUAUGGAAACAAUUAUUUUGAAUGAUUAAAGUAUUACAUGUUUUAAGCAAUAAAAAAUGUGCCAAAAAUAGGAUUAUAGUUAUUUUUUUAAAGUGACUGCUGUAGUACAACCAGGAAGGGGCCUUCUAUGUGCUACUACAGAAAUCAGAAUGCGAAAAGUCCCUUUCAUUGAUUUUUGGUGAAUAUUUUAAACUUGU